rnacentral:rRNA from 1 species
UUUUGGAGGGCAAGUCUGGUGCCAGCAGCCGCGGUAAUUCCAGCUCCAAUAGCGUAUAUUAAAGUUGUUGCAGUCAAAAAGCUCGUAGUUGAAUUUCGGGGUUAGUAGGUUGGUCAUGCCUCUGGUAUGUACUGGUCUCACUGAUUCCUCCUUCCUUAUGAACCGUAAUGCCAUUAAUUUGGUGUUGCGGGGAAUUUGGACUGUUACUUUGAAAAAAUUAGAGUGUUUAAAGCAGGCUAACGCUUGAAUACAUUAGCAUGGAAUAAUGAAAUAGGACGUUCGAUCUUAUUUUGUUGGUUUCUAGGAUUGACGUAAUGAUUAAUAGGGAUAGUUGGGGGCAUUAGUAUUCAAUUGUCAGAGGUGAAAUUCUUGGAUUUAUUGAAGACUAACUACUGCGAAAGCAUUUGCCAAGGAUGUUUUCAUUAAUCAAGAACGAAAGUUAGGGGAUCGAAGACGAUCAGAUACCGUCGUAGUCUUAACCAUAAACUAUGCCGACUAGGGAUCGGAUGAUGUUAAUUUUUUAAUGACUCAUUCGGCGCCUUACGGGAAAC